GCCGUUACACUGCAACUAUGCCACUUGCAUACAAAACUCUGGGCUUGCACAAAAAAAGGCUUGGUUGACUAACCUUCAUCCACAAGAACAGUUCAUGCUUUCCACAAAGCACCACGCAGGACAACCGGUGUCCACUUUGCCAGCAGUGCCAAGCCUCCAAAUGGCAAGGGGUCUUCUGCAAAUACUGGCAUGCGUUUGAAGGGCUGCAUGCCAAAGGUCAUCUGAUGAACUCUAUCCUGGUCCCCGGUGGGAAGCCUCUUGCCUUUUUUCUACAUCAUCGCCCAGCUUGUUUCUGUACAAAAAAGGUGACUGGAAUUUGCAGAUGCUUUAUUCUUUAUGAACUCAUCACUAGAAGACAUCAAAAAUCUUUAAAAAUCAAGUUACACAGUGGGGAACCUGGAAGUCAUGGUAUCUUCACCUUCUGAUAAAAGUCCAAAGACAGUUCAGAGGAAAAGUUGCUACAGAGCUCAAACAGAACCAUAAAGAACAAGACAAAGUAAAAUGUGGGAAUGAUAUCCUGAGAAAUAUCAAGGCAGACAACCUACAAAUAUAGUCACAAUUUACCACGACAAAAUACAAUCCUAGCCAACUUUUAUAUUUCAGAUCCGUCAUGUUAUCAUAGAAUCACAGAAUUGGUUGGAAGGGACCCUUCAGAUCACCUAGUCCAACCAUCAACCUAAAACUCACAAAAACCAUCACUAAACCAUAACUCUAAGCACUACGUCUACCUGUCUUUUAAAUAUCUCCAGGGAUAACGAUUUCACCACUUCCAUGGGCGGCCUGUUCCAAUGCUUGAUAACUCUUUCAGUGUAAAAAUUUUUCCUAAUAUCUAAUCUAAACCUCCCCUCACACAACUUGAGGCCGUUUCCUCUUGUCCUAUUGCCUUAUGUGUCAUUACUUGAUU